CUUGUAUGCUUGAUGUUCUAACGUUGGCCCCUUAUCGGGGUUGCGGACAGUGCCUGGUGGGUAGUUUGACUGGGGCGGUCUCCUCCCAAAGAGUAACGGAGGAGCACGAAGGUGGGCUAAACACGGUUGGACAUCGUGUGGUUAGUGCAAUGGCAUAAGCCCGCUUGACUGCGAGAAUGACAAUUCGAGCAGGUGCGAAAGCAGGUCAUAGUGAUCCGGUGGUUCUGAAUGGAAGGGCCAUCGCUCAACGGAUAAAAGGUACUCCGGGGAUAACAGGCUGAUACCGCCCAAGAGUUCAUAUCGACGGCGGUGUUUGGCACCUCGAUGUCGGCUCAUCACAUCCUGGGGCUGAAGUCGGUCCCAAGGGUAUGGCUGUUCGCCAUUUAAAGUGGUACGCGAGCUGGGUUUAGAACGUCGUGAGACAGUUCGGUCCCUAUCUGCCGUGGGCGUUGGAAAAUUGAAAGGGGCUGCUCCUAGUACGAGAGGACCGGAGUGGACGAACCUCUGGUGUUCGGGUUGUCAUGCCAAUGGCAUUGCCCGGUAGCUAAGUUCGGAAUCGAUAACCGCUGAAAGCAUCUAAGCGGGAAGCGAGCCUUGAGAUGAGUUUUCCCUGGCACUAUAAGUGUCCUAAAGGGUUGUCGUAGACUACGACGUUGAUAGGCAGGGUGUGUAAGUGCUGCGAGGCAUUGAGCUAACCUGUACUAAUUGCCCGUGAGGCUUAACCAUACAACACCCAAGGGGUUU
rnacentral:rRNA from 1 species